rnacentral:rRNA from 1 species
GGAUUCCCCUAGUAACUGCGAGUGAAGCGGGAAAAGCUCAAAUUUAAAAUCUGGCGGUCUCCGGCCGUCCGAGUUGUAAUCUAGAGAAGUGUUAUCCGCGCUGGACCGUGUACAAGUCUCCUGGAAUGGAGCGUCAUAGAGGGUGAGAAUCCCGUCUUUGACACGGACUGCCAGGGCUUUGUGAUGCGCUCUCAAAGAGUCGAGUUGUUUGGGAAUGCAGCUCAAAAUGGGUGGUAAAUUCCAUCUAAAGCUAAAUAUUGGCGAGAGACCGAUAGCGAACAAGUACCGUGAGGGAAAGAUGAAAAGAACUUUGGAAAGAGAGUUAAACAGUACGUGAAAUUGCUGAAAGGGAAACGCUUGAAGUCAGUCGCGUUGGCCGGGGAUCAACCUUGCUUUUGCUGGGCGUACUUUCCGGUUGACGGGUCAGCAUCAAUUUUGACCGUUGGAUAAAGUCUAGGGGAAUGUGGCAUCUUCGGAUGUGUUAUAGCCCUUGGUCGCAUACAACGGUUGGGAUUGAGGAACUCAGCACGCCGCAAGGCCGGGUACUUGUACCACGUUCGUGCUUAGGAUGCUGGCAUAAUGGCUUUAAUCGACCCGUCUUGAAACACGGACCAAGGAGUCUAACAUGCCUGCGAGUGUUUGGGGUGGAAAACUCGGACGCGUAAUGAAAGUGAAAGUUGAGAUCCCUGUCGCGGGGAGCAUCGACGCCCGGACCAGACCUUUUGUGACGGAUCCGCGGUAGAGCAUGUAUGUUGGGACCCGAAAGAUGGUGAACUAUGCCUGAAUAGGGUGAAGCCAGAGGAAACUCUGGUGGAGGCUCGUAGCGAUUCUGACGUGCAAAUCGAUCGUCAAAUUUGGGUAUAGGGGGCGAAAGACUAAUCGAAC